AACGUAGGAGACAAACGUUAUCCGGAGUUACUGGGCGUAAAGGGCGUGUAGGUGGUUUCGUAAGUCUGGCGUGAAAUUUUUCGGCUUAACCGGGAAAGGUCGUCGGAUACUGCGGAGCUAGAGGACGGUAGAGGCGUGUGGAAUUCCGGGUGUAGUGGUGAAAUGCGUAGAUAUCGGGAGGAACACCAGUGGCGAAGGCGACUUCCUGGCCUGUUCUUGACGCUGAGGCGCGAAAGCUAGGGUAGCAAACGGG
rnacentral:rRNA from 1 species